GAAGGCUAAGCAAACAUAUAGACAAUACAUAUAUCCCAGAUCUGGGCGAGUUUUCCCCUUUUCUUCCUCUCAAAUCCACUGUCUAUGAUCUGAGAUUAUAGCCCGGUCCUGACAGUCCUCUGCUAACUCCACCAAGCUACGCCACCAGCUUCUUCUUUCAUCUAAUCUAAUCCAAUCCCCCCUCUAAUCUAAGAAAACGAAUCCAUCCUUACCGCCAUGUUUAUUCUCUCUUGUCUUGCAGGUUUGUUGGUUGGAUCUGUCUCUAUUUUAUGUUACACUAGUAUUACACACGGAUAUUUCCAUCCAUCGAGUAAAACGAAUAUCCCAGCCGCGUCAAGCCCUGUUAGGCCGUCUCCUGUGUGUGUAUGUGCAGAGUUUAUUUGUUUUGUUUUGUUUUAAUCUUCUGUAUGUAUAUCACCGGAGGACAAAGCAAAAGAAAAUAAAUCCAUCUUGAGAAGAAGAUUCACCCGAGUACUGUUUUCAGGUUGUUUGUAUCUGUGGGAAUUUUUCCUACAAGGAUUUCAAACUGUUUGGGAUCUUUCCCAUGCAGUCUAUUGUCUUUUAAGAAAAAAAUAGAUAAAAAUCUUAAACCUCUUCUUGCAAUUCCUUUAUUACUUCUUCUGGUGGUGUAUGUAAAACACUCUUUGAUGAGUUUUUUCUUUUGCCACACCCUUUAGUACCACUUAUUACAGAGAUAACAAUCCAAAGUACAUUUUAUUUGCCUAGCUCUGUCGCUAAGCCUUUUCAUCUUAGCACUUAUACUCACAAACUUUAGUGUCAUUGUUAGUCCACUUUUCGCCAGUGCUAAGGUGAUAUGAGGAUACAUGCUAAGAUUAAAAAACUUAGUGUCCAAUGCUAUGCUAGAUUAAUCUUAAUCAUUUACAGUUAUCCAUUCUAGUUAAAUUGAUAGUUUUACAGUCUAGGUCAUAUGAUUCGUGCCAGGGUAAAUUGAAAGAGAAUAUUAAUGUAAUGUAUUCAUCUUAGCUUCUAUUGUGUCGGUGGUAGAGAUGUGGAAGCUCCAGUCGCUAAAGAGAUGGAGUAAUUUAGCUAGCGUUUGGGUCAUACUUUGGGUUGUGAUUCUUGUUGCUUUGACUUUUUUUUUUAGCAUACGAACAUUCAAGUAAGAUCGUGUUGCUUUGAUUUCACUUUUUUUUAUUAAUUCAGUGUGUGCUUCUAUUAGGAUUUUGAUGAUUUUUUCAUCAAGUGAACCAAGCACAUAAUAGGUUGAGAAAAUUGAUGUGUGUAAUAACCGUUGUGAAGGCAUGGUUCUAUCAGAUUGGUGCAUUUUUAAACCAUCCCUUUGUUUGUGAGUUUUUUUUUUAACUCUGUGGUCAUCUUAUGGGGAUAUGCGCACAUAGAGCGAGUGGUUCACAUGUGUGUAGGGUCAGCCUUGUCCCCAUUUUCAUUUUGGUAGCGGUCGAUGUCCACUCGUUCUCUCCCUCUCUAGACAGACAGAUCCAUCCAUGGAGAUCGUCCACAUGUUAUUUGUCUGCAGUUUCCUUACUGUAUGUGUAUGCAUGCUUGCUCUUCAGGACCUUGGAUUCCUUGCCUGUUGCUCAUGACAGGCCGUCUGUUGCUGCAUUUGAUUUCUUUCUUGUGAAGGUGUCCAGAUCCUGAUGCAUGGGGAACUUGAUAUGAACCAUCAACUCCUGGCAUCUUGGAUUUGCCUGUGUUGCAUUAGUUGUCUUGUGAAGAAGAUGUUCAAGUCCUGAUGCAAAGGGAACAACCGUCAACUCAUGGGAUAAAGCAGUCUGAUACUGUAUUGGCUCCACCAAGCCAGUGGGAUCUUGUGUCAGAUAAAACAAAUGAUGCAGGAGGAGCAACCAUUGCAGGUUAUAUUCGAUGCACUGCAUACCAAGUUAAGCUACCGGCCAGCCAUUUAGGACCAAAUGAAGCAAUUCAAAAGUUGUGCUACAUAAAUAGGUUCUUUGACUUGUAAGUCAAAAAUCAAAAGUUACAAGUUAAGCAUAACCAAACACUGGGAAUGGCCGCACCAAAGGUGCUUGAAAAUAACAAGUCCAAAUAUUGAUGAUGCCAAAUGUUGUGAAAAACAAAUCGCAAAGGUAUGUCAUUAUUGUACUAUGUUAUGCCAAUUGUAUCUUGUGGAGAUGAUUCCUUGCAGGAGGAUGACAUUUAAACAGUCGAUGAAGUAAGGAGCACAAAGGUCCAGAGGUGAAUUUAUGCCCUGGUUAUGCAAAUCUGCUAGUAAGAUUGAAGCAAGCGAUGCAACCCGCUGAUGUGGAGCAAACUUUGAUUAACAAGUGAUGGUACAAGCUAAUGUAUGUAUGUUUUGGGCUGCUGA